CUGACGUCGGUUGCUGCGUUAGUUAACUUCCUACCAGUGUAGUUAAGACACCGCGGCCAAGGCAACUUAGAAGAGAAAGUGUUUAAUUGGUCUCAUCGCUCCAGAGGGUUAAAGUUCACAGUGUGGAUGAAGUCAUGGCAGCAGGAUCAGCUUGCAUCUCAAACGAGGCACAGAGUUUUCUUUAGAAUUCCGGACUAUGCCACUGAAGGAAGAAUCCCACUGUGAAACCAGGGCACCAGAUUUUCACCGUGUACUGGAAAAGGUCCAUCCAUUGAGGUGUUUCAUGGACAUAUUUUGAGGAGAAGUUUCCAUGUUUGAAUCAAGAUGAAAUUGGAGAAGACAUCAUCACCUGCCUGCAGGGAUGCUCACCUGGUUUCUUGCUGUCUUGGGUGUUCGUGCUGCUCUAGACGAGGGUCAGAACUGCCAACACUGUAGAAAAGAACAGAAGCCACCAGAGCAGAAGCAGAGUGGAGUCCCCACCAGUUUUCCUG